CAAAAGGUUCUUUUCAGAGCCACCCACAAUGAUCAUAAAGGGUGG
rfam:Nipponia nippon contig11441, whole genome shotgun sequence.